rnacentral:rRNA from 1 species
UGCGGGGGGAGCAAGCGUUGUUCGGAUUUACUGGGCGUAAAGGGCGCGUAGGCGGUCAGCACAAGUCAAUUGUGAAAUCUCCGAGCUUAACUCGGAAAGGUCAACUGAAACUGUGCGACUAGAGUGCGGAAGGGGCAACUGGAAUUCUUGGUGUAGCGGUGAAAUGCGUAGAUAUCAAGAGGAACACCUGCGGCGAAGGCGGGUUGCUGGGCCGACACUGACGCUGAAGCGCGAAAGCCAGGGGAGCGAACGGG